GAGAGAGCGGUUCUGAAGAAGGCCAACAGGAAGGAGAUGGGAAGAUGUGGCCAAUGGGGGGGAUCCCGUUGGUAGCCAAAAAAGGUGGAGACAAUCAGCGGGUAAGGCAGCAUCUGUGGAGCGAAGGACUAGACGACGUUUCGGGUCGAGACCCUUCUUCUGAUUGAUGGGGGGGGGGGGACACGAAAAAGAAA